rnacentral:rRNA from 1 species
UACGGGGGGGGUAAGCGUUGUUCGGAAUUACUGGGCGUAAAGGGCUCGUAGGCGGCCAACUAAGUCAUACGUGAAAUCCCUCAGCUUAACUGGGGAACUGCGUGUGAUACUGGAUGGCUUGGAUUUGGGAGAGGGAUGCGGAAUUCCAAGUGUAGCGGUGAAAUGCGUAGAUAUCUGGAGGAACACCGGUGGCGAAGGCGGCAUCCUGGACCAAUAUUGACGCUGAGGAGCGAAAGCCAGGGGAGCAAACGGG